AAAGUCGUAACAAGGUUUCCGUAGGUGAACCUGCGGAAGGAUCAUUAUUGAAUAAACUUGGUUGAGUUGUUGCUGACCUUUCGGGGUAUGUGCACGCUCAUUCCAUUUUUAACCACCUGUGCACCUUGUGUAGAUCUGAAUACUUGAGAGCGAUCAGAGAUGAUUGCUCUUGUAUUUAGGUUUAUGUUUUCAUAUACUCCAGAAAAUGUAUUAGAAUGAUGUGACUAGGCCUACGUGCCUUUACAAAUUAAAACAACUUUCAACAACGGAUCUCUUGGCUCUC
rnacentral:misc_RNA from 1 species